UACGUAGGGCGCAAGCGUUAUCCGGAAUUAUUGGGCGUAAAGAGCUCGUAGGCGGUUUGUCGCGUCUGCCGUGAAAGUCCGGGGCUCAACUCCGGAUCUGCGGUGGGUACGGGCAGACUAGAGUGAUGUAGGGGAGACUGGAAUUCCUGGUGUAGCGGUGAAAUGCGUAGAUAUCUGGAGGAACACCGGUGGCGAAGGCGGCAUCCUGGACCGGUAUUGACGCUGAGGCGCGAAAGCUAGGGGAGCAAACGGG
rnacentral:rRNA from 1 species